rnacentral:rRNA from 1 species
GAUGAACGCUGGCGGCGUGCCUAAUACAUGCAAGUCGAGCGAACAGACGAGGAGCUUGUUCCUCUGACGUUAGCGGCGGACGGGUGAGUAACACGUGGAUAACCUACCUAUAAGACUGGGAUAACUUCGGGAAACCGGAGCUAAUACCGGAUAAUAUAUUGCACCGCAUGGUUCAAUAGUGAAAGACGGUUUUGCUGUCACUUAUAGAUGGAUCCGCGCCGCAUUAGCUAGUUGGUAAGGUAACGGCUUACCAAGGCAACGAUGCGUAGCCGACCUGAGAGGGUGAUCGGCCACACUGGAACUGAGACACGGUCCAGACUCCUACGGGAGGCAGCAGUAGGGAAUCUUCCGCAAUGGGCGAAAGCCUGACGGAGCAACGCCGCGUGAGUGAUGAAGGUCUUCGGAUCGUAAAACUCUGUUAUUAGGGAAGAACAAAUGUGUAAGUAACUAUGCACGUCUUGACGGUACCUAAUCAGAAAGCCACGGCUAACUACGUG